AACGAACGCUGGCGGCAGGCCUCAAACAUGCAAGUCUAGGGGGUGCAGCAAUGCAUCACCGGCGGACGGGUGCGUAACGCGUGGGAAUAUACCUUUUGGUUCGGAACAACUGCGGGAAACUGCAGCUAAUACCGAAUGUGCCCUAACGGGGAAAGAUUUAUCGCCAAAGGAUUAGCCCGCGUAGGAUUAGCUAGUUGGUGAGGUAAUGGCUCACCAAGGCUCCGAUCCUUAGCNGUUCUGAGAGGAAGAUCAGCCACACUGGGACUGAGACACGGCCCAGACUCCUACGGGAGGCAGCAGUUGGGAAUCUUGGACAAUGGGGAAACCCUGAUCCAGCCAUGCCGCGUGAGUGAUGAAGGCCUU
rnacentral:rRNA from 1 species